rnacentral:rRNA from 1 species
GACGAACGCUGGCGGCGUGCUUAACACAUGCAAGUCGAACGGAAAGGCCCCCUUGUGGGGUACUCGAGGGGCGAACGGGGGAGUAACACGUGAGUAACCUACCCUUGACUUCGGGAUAACAACAUGAAACUGGUGCGAAUACCGGAUAGGAGCUCCUGCUGCAUGGUGGGGGGGGGAGAGAUUCGGCGGUUGGGGAUGGACUCGCGGCGUAUCAGCUUGUUGGUGGGGUAGUGGCUCACCAAGGCUUUGACGGGUAGCCGGCCUGAGAGGGUGACCGGCCACAUUGGGACUGAGAUACGGCCCAGACUCCUACGGGAGGCAGCAGUGGGGAAUAUUGCACAAUGGGCGGAAGCCUGAUGCAGCAACGCCGCGUGCGGGAUGACGGCCUUCGGGUUGUAAACCGCUUUCGCCUGUGACGAAGCGUGAGUGACGGUAAUGGGUAAAGAAGCACCGGCUAACUACGUG